CCUACGGGAGGUAGCAGUAGGGAAUCUUCCACAAUGGGCGAAAGCCUGAUGGAGCAACGCCGCGUGGGUGAAGAAGGUCUUCGGAUCGUGAAACCCUGUUGUUAGAGAAGAAAGUGCGUGAGAGUAACUGUUCACGUUUCGACGGUAUCUAACCAGAAAGCCACGGCUAACUACGUGCCAGCAGCCGCGGUAAUACGUAGGUGGCAAGCGUUAUCCGGAUUUAUUGGGCGUAAAGGGAACGCAGGCGGUCUUUUAAGUCUGAUGGGAAAGCCUUCGGCUUAACCGGAGUAGUGCAUUGGAAACUGGGUGACUUGAGUGCGUAAGAGGAGAGUGGAACGCCAUGUGUAGCGGUGAAAUGCGUAGAUAGAUGGAAGAACACCAGUGGCGAAAGCGGCUCUCUGGUCUGUAACUGACGCUGAGGUUCGAAAGCGUGGGUAGCAAACAGGAUUAGAUACCCCAGUAGUC
rnacentral:rRNA from 1 species